GGGUCACCUACAUGGUGCCCGCAAGCUACAUGAGUAGCCUGAGAGCUGUUAAUAACAUAUAAGCUAAUUAAAGGUAAUUGAGCUUUUUUGUUGUUGUUUGUUUUUGUGUAUCAAACCAGUAGCCGUUUGCGGUAAUCGAUAAUCAAGAAUAGUUUUGAGUUCCCAAAAUGUUGUUGACUCCACUUUGAAAUCUCAUGUGAACUGCUGAAAUACACCUUCUGUGUAUCCCAUUUGAAGCCGGAAACGUUCGAUCUGUAUCGGUCCACAAAAUUUUGUAGUUUAAUUAACGAUUGGACUUGAGGGGACCGGCUUUCACUUCAAAUCAACAUGGCUGACAAUUGUAUGAUGUUUACUCAAACUGUGGCUUCACAUCCUGCGUGGGAGGAGUACAAAUAAGAAAAAACGUUCUUUGCUUAUAAAAUCCAGAUUGAAAUGGAAAAAAAAUAAUAAUUGAAAGAACUAAAUCCGUUUUAAUCGUUUCAGUGCAAUUAUUAAAUAUCAACUUCCACAUUUCACUCCGCCAACCACUUUGUGCAGGACAUCGCCAUGGGUGACGAUAAAUAAUGCAAUUAAAAAUAUUCCCAUUUAUCCAUGAGCAGAUUUGUAUGAUAGUUUGUAGAAUGAUCCAAACAGUUUAAAAUGUAUAAGCAAUGUUCGCAUACGAGCACUGAUAUAUUUCCAAAAGAGAUUUCAUGAAGGUGAGCUUGAACCAACUGUUUUAACUUGACCCAUAAGCCUGUGUGCGUGCGUAUGUGUGUGUGUGUGUGUGUGUGUGUGUGUGUGUGUGAGUGUGUUUUUUUAACAUAUGCUGAUAUCUGAUAAUCUUCUUAUGUGUUUGAGGAUUUUUUUCCCCCCUGAUCUUACUGAAUAGCUUAACAAAAUAUGCUUCAGUAAUGGAAGGCUGUAACCUCCUCAAUCGCCUCCACAACUUCAAUAGGCCAUCAAGUGGCUAAUGAACUGAUAGGCUUAUGCAAGCUUUUGGCCCCAUUUCGGGGGCACAUUAGGUGAGAAUAAAGCAAAAAUCAAAAGUAUCACAUCGUCCCUAAUAUGAACUUUCACGAGAUAGAAGAAAAGCAAUUGCGAUUUUUCUUUAGUUUUUUUUUUUUUUUUUUGCGUGUUUUGUUGGUUGCAAGGCCCUGUUGUGUGCACUUGAUCAGAGCUGCGGCUAAAGCUAUGCGUAUCAUUAUCACUUGGGUAUCUGUGUAAAUCCAUGGAUUUGUGUGAGCAGUCUGAGAAAUUAAAAUAACGUGCUUUUUACUACGCUUACUUUAAAGCUCUUUCAACUUCAUUUAUAUUUGUGUAAAAAAACAUCUAAAUCUGCUAUUAUGUAGGCCCUACAAAACCCAUUUAAUGCCAUCUUUGACAAGAUUAUCAAAGUCAUUGAUGAUGUCACCAACUUCAAUAAUUGGAGAAAAUGUCGACUAAGCCUGGAUAAGCACUUUUAAGGGGGAUACCGCUGGAUUAUCGUAAGUAUAUUUAUCGUUGUUUAGAUUUUAGUUGUUUUCAUAUUAUUGUUUCAUUAGAGGAAGGCUUCUUUAAUUUGACAUGUAUGGCUUGAUUGGUAGUAAUUCAUUCGUUUAGCUUGGAAAAACACAUAAAAGCUGAAAAAUACACCUCUGUAUUGAUGCAUUUCACUUCGACGGCAACAUUUGCACCACACGAGUACGUCCAUGAUGGGUCCAAUGAGACGUAAGGUGUGUAGUAUACAAAGGACAACCAGAAAGAGGCAAAGAAAAACAAUGUGCAAGGGGUCGAACAGAAACAUCAAACAAGGUGCAAACUGGCAUGUCUUUCCACAAUUUUUACAGUGGCAGUGGACAUUUCCAGGACAAGGUGUGAUUUACAGUUGGAGAGGAGACAUGCCACGCAGGUGACAUUAAAAACAAACGCCGUGCCGAGUGUUUUUAACGAGCAAGAAGCGGGAGAAGAGCUCAACUGCCCGAGCGAGAAUCUUUUUUUCUCUCAACCCUUAACGCUCCGUGUCGAGCACAGGCGGCGGCGUUGUUGGCGUUCUGUCCAUAAUGUGAGCAGAGUCCCGGUCGUGAAUUAAGCCGCUGAGACACCGGACCCAAGCAGCGCUCUGAUCUUCGUGCAGCGGUCCUCAGGUGUCUUUUUGACCGAGGCGGCAGCACCCAGAGCGGGGGCCGAGCGACCAAGGGGCGCUGCAGUCCGCCUCUCCCUCCAAAGCAGGGAGGAGGGGGGGGGGGAUUACUGCAGCGUCUGUUGGGCCCAUAUGCCGCCAAAGUCUUGAUUAAACUCUUUGUAUGUAUAUGACGCGCUGUGGAGACCAUCUUUAAUCUCUCCUCUAACUUUGUGCACUUUGCAGGCUCCGAGGUUACAAUAACAAAACUGGGGACGCUUUGUUUCCAUGUGCGCAGACGAAGCUACUUUUUGGGCUUUUAUGACGCGACCUAAAUCGCUUUUCAACCGACGGGAGUGCUUUUAAAAAUCUGAAAGCUACUUCUAAUUUAACUUCCACACAUAUGUGAAUUUAAAUGUUACGCAAAGUAUUUAGGAGAGAACUUUUAUUAUGAGUAUGAACCGCUUUCUUUCGGGUUUUCCGAAAGUUAAGGAGUUGUUCCCAUCGAGCAGACUCUUCUCAUGAAUAUUCACGGCUCUGUCAGCCGAGCUAUUGUCUCCUCAUUCAAUUGUUUUAUUGUUUGUCGCCAUAAUGAAGCAUGCAUGCGCUCGUUUCUAACUAACAAGGGAGAAAACCUGCACGUACACAUUUACGCUUGAAUGUAAGUUCUGUACUGCUCAACCUUCAAAAUAUCUUUCCACCCCCCCUUUUUUUAUUAUUUUUGAAAUAAAUGACGCGCAGGCGCACUAACCAGCAUCCAGGAGCGAAAUCAAAGUGGCUCUUGUCUUUUUUAACGCUUCGAUUAUUUCAAGCAAGCUUUUAAUUAGCGCGCUCCUCCAGCGGAGGCUGCAAUGAAAGAGAGAUUAUUGGCAAUGUCAAGGAUACUUAAUUGAAUGUUGGACUUCUAACAAUUAGCCAGCCAUGUCGACUCAUUACACAUCCCAUAAUAGUCUGUGACUUUGUUGGUGAGUUUUAAAUAGCAGGUAUAGAAAAACACAAGCGCCCGUUUCAUCAGACAGCAUCUUGACACCUCACUCGUAGUCACAAGAACAGAAGACUGGGAAAAGUUCUCAUCUUGGUGGAAACGGUGUCACUGCAGGUUUCACUGAUAGUGCAAUAUAUUUAGCUUUUUUUUCAACAAAAAAACAAUCUAACGACACUACAAAAUGUGUGUGUAUAAUUAGAAUUGAACGCGUACAGGCUAUUUUCAGAGCAUAAAGACCAUUCUCAGACGAAAGCCAUUGUGUUAUUUCAAAAUGCUUGUGGACUACAUGUUUGGGCCGUGAAUGGGACCCACUGUUGCUAGGUGAAAAUAUUGGGAUUAACAUCUUUUGUGAGAUUAAACUGCUGGGCCUUCACUUGUUGUGAGGACUUUUCAAAAAUUGGAGCUCCGGAAGUGGGGGAAAUAAAAGCGUUAAGAUGCGCCUCAAUUUUAUUAGAUUUCUCAAGCGUUAUUAAACGCCAUUGGGUUAUUUUUAAAACUGAUUUAAAUGAGGUCAAAACAAAUAUAUAGGUUUGAGCAGUUUAACAAUCACAUUUUCUCUCCCAAUUAAAGAUACUUAAUACUCAUAACUUUGCUUGUGAAUACAUUUUACAUUUGAUUUUUUUAUUAUUAAUGUCGUUAUUAAAAUGCCAUACAACCCAAGUGAUGUUUCCGCGCGCUCAAAACACACACACACACACACACACACACACACACACACACACACACACACACACACACACACACACGCGCGCGCACACGCGCGCACACGCACGCACGCACGUAUUCAUAUACACUCAAAGAUCGUCUAUUAAGAGGAAAGCUCAAGGGACCGUCCGCUUUUUAUUCUUCUUUUUCACGUCUUUUCGGCGGGGAGGCCUCAGCAUCUUUGGAGCCGGUACCGGACCCAGAAUCAUGUUGAUAUCCAGUGGAAAGGAGCCUUUGCGUACGUGUGUGAGUGCGUGACAAUGUGUGUCCAACCUUUCAUAUUAUUACUACCACUUGAAAAGUCUCAUUUAAUCAUUAGCGUCUGCGCUCUCCCUCCAGAAAA